rnacentral:rRNA from 1 species
UCUAAAAAUUAACACAUGCAUGAAGAGUUGCAAAUAAAGUCGAAGGACAAGAAGACCCUAUAGAGCUUUAUUUUAACUAUAGAUACAACUAUACAAAAAUUCGGUUGGGGCGACCAAGGACAUAGAGAAUAUCAACCUAAACAAAAAUGAUAAAUUAAUCUAUAAACUGACCCUUAUAAAGAACAUAAAAAUAAGCUACCUUAGGGAUAACAGGCUAAUCCUAUUUGAGAGUCCAUAUCUACAAUAGGGUUUGGCACCUCGAUGUUGGCUUAGGGUAUCAAUAUGGCGCAAAAGUUGUAUGAAGAUGGUUUGUUCAACCAGUAACUCCCUACAUGAGCUGA